GCAGUGAUGGAAUCAUAAUUGCAGAGACUUCUCCAGAUCAAGUGACUGUGCCACGUGGAGGACUCCAAAUACAAGAUGAUGUAUUUUUCAUGAAACGUCUCUCAGCUUGAACAGCUCGUGCAGCAUCACCAGGUUGAUAAAACAGGUAAAAGGGGGUGUGGGCAGGGAUGGUACAGCAUGCCUAUGGUCUGGCAGGUAGCAUGACACCAUCUGCAUCCCAGCUGCCACAGCUUUGCUCUGUAAAACGUUCUGCACUGUUUCAUCUUCCUGGGCUUUUCAUGGUGCAUUCAUUUCUUUCCUGGAGUGCAUCAAAUGACUUUCCUUCUCACUGCUGAUCAUCAGAAAACUCAUUCCUCUCCCAAGUGCUACACUUCUUACCUUGCCUGUGAAUCCUGCUGUUGCUGUCUGGCACCUGUGGCUGAUACUGGCUGAGGAGGUGUUAAGCUGAGCAGCCACCCCAGAGUGGCACAGGUCAUUUCUGAGAGGGAAUAGAGGGCAUUGAGGUGGAACGUUGGGCAGACCCCAUUUACCCUGUGGAAGACGCUCUUGGUGAUGAAGAAGAGAUACACAUGUUGAUUAAGUACUUUAAGGGUAAGAUGUGGUGAAGAGUUUAUCUGUUGCAAGUCUCUUCUCUUAUAAUCCUGA